GGCAACUUGGCCGAGCGGUCUAAGGCGCCAGACUCAAGCGAUAGCUUCAUCCGUUCCAGCGGAUGAGUAUUCUGGUCUCGAAAGAGGCGUGAGUUCGAAUCUCACAGUUGUCA
rfam:Colletotrichum higginsianum, IMI 349063, WGS project CACQ02000000 data, contig: cont1.387